AUGAUACACACAGAAAAACACAGUCUACAUACACACAUGCACAGGGACCCUCCCACCUCCCUCUAGACUCCUGGACCCCAUCUGCACUCUCCUCUCUCCAGCCCCCUAAUUGCAUAUGCACAAAUGCAAAUGUAUAUUAAUUAAUUACUUGACUAAUUAGUGCAGUGGUAUUUUAGGGCGAUAAAUCAAGUGGAGAUGGGGCCGAGGACGGCAGGGCAGGAGGAGGGCUGCAUGGAGCAUCCACAAUGAACCCACACCGGAGGGAGUCUCCUACUCUACGAGUCUUGCAUGGAGGAUCUGCACAGCAGAGUUUUUGGAGAGAGAUGUUGCUUAAAAAUGCUGAAGAGGUGAAUAAGUGAGGUGUGCCAGGCCCCCACCAUAGGUACCCAUGGAGAUCUCCGGACUAAAAUAUUCAUUCUUGUUUGCUGGCCCAGACAGUGUGGUCCUAAUUGCAACAUCAGAAAGCUCCACCUCUUCUUCUUGUCUGGCUUGGCUGCAGCAGAGACAAACCUCAUCUGGGAGCAAGAUGCUUCUGGUGAGUGUGAGGCUCUGGAGUUUUUCAUCAGUUCCAGUGCCAACCCUACCCCUUGCUUGGCCAAGCUGAACCAUCUUGUGGGAUUUUUGGCUUUUA